GAAACCCGGAGGAGGUAGGGCUUAAUCUGCACCUUGAAAAAAGCAGAGGCUUAACAAGAGGAGAUGCAGUCCAAAGAGUGCUAUAUCGUGAUCCUUCUCCAUUCCAUGACUUGGCCUUCAUCCAGAAGAACUGGCUGUGUAACAAUUCCCAUGAGUGUUUUCACUGAAGUCUCUGUCAGCAUUUUGUGAAAUCCAAAUUCUCCUUCGACUCUGAUACUCCCAGAAGCUCUUUU